rnacentral:rRNA from 1 species
UACGUAGGGUGCAAGCGUUUGUCCGGAAUUAUUGGGCGUAAAGAGCUCGUAGGCGGUUUGUCGCGUCUGCUGUGAAAACUCGGGGCUUAACCCCGGGCCUGCAGUGGGUACGGGCAGACUAGAGUGCGGUAGGGGGAGACUGGAAUUCCUGGUGUAGCGGUGAAAUGCGUAGAGAUCGGGAGGAACACCGAUGGCGAAGGCAGGUCACUGGGCCGCAACUGACGCUGAGGAGCGAAAGCAUGGGGAGCGAACAGG